rnacentral:rRNA from 1 species
UACGGGGGGAGCAAGCGUUGUUCGGAUUUACUGGGCGUAAAGGGCGCGUAGGCGGCCACCGCAAGUCGAUUGUGAAAUCUCCGGGCUUAACUCGGAAAGGUCAACCGAUACUGCGGGGCUAGAGUGCAGAAGGGGCAACUGGAAUUCUCGGUGUAGCGGUGAAAUGCGUAGAUAUCGAGAGGAACACCUGCGGCGAAGGCGGGUUGCUGGGCCGACACUGACGCUGAUGCGCGAAAGCCAGGGGAGCGAACGGG